GCUAUCAUGCAAAGCGUUGGUGCUCGCGCUGCACAUCAAACGGCAGCGCAGUUAAACGGGAAUCAGACGGCAAAGCGCUCCCGCGCCGCGCCCAACCUGAGCUGCCCCCGCAACGGUAAGCGGACGAAGACCUCGGUCUUCCGCUCGUGUCGAACAUCCACUGGACGCUUGCGUCUGGGAAGGACACACGGGUCGCCUCCGCCAGCCCGGAUACCGGCCAACGGGAGGCGUGCGCC
rnacentral:ncRNA from 2 species